rnacentral:piRNA from 1 species
UGAAUCGUCUGAUUUUACUUAAGAUAUGCA